CCCUGCUCAGAGCUCCACUCAACAUGAGGGUAGGACUAGCACUGUCAACUUCCUACCGCUGUGAAGGAUUACCACUGAGAGCGCAGUGUGCUUGGGGAACACCACGUAUGAUCAGUACUGUUCCUGAAAGUAUGGGAUGGGGAUCUUCUUGGCUGUCCCUUCCUGCUGACCUUCUCUGGAAAAUGAAGACAGGUGUACACAUUUUACAGCCUCCUGGACUGACACUUAAGGAGUGAUUUAGAGACCCUGAAGAGCCACACACCCAGAGAAGGCAUGGAGAUGCCCGCCGGAGAAAACAAGCCAUUAUUCUGCCAGGGACUUGCAGGAUGAACAGGAAAACUACGAUGUCCAUUGAAGAUUAUUCCUAGAACAGGUCCAGAACUGGCCAGGAGGCAGGUUUAAAAAGUCAGUGGGAAAGUAUCACUUGUUGAUUUGAGAAUGCAAGUAUUCCUCUUCCAACAAGCAAGCUACAUUAUCUAUCUGAAAACAAAUUUCAGCCUGAAGUGGACAUUAGAAUUCUUCCUUUCCAUUAUGAAAGGACCGUUGUUUCCAUACCUACAACAUAACUGUGUCCAAGAACCUCACACUUUCUAAUAGCAUAUUUAUAAUAAAUCUUGCCACAGUGUAUCUCUCAUGACGCUGCAGAAACACAAGAAGGCAUUUGUUUUUGUUAUCAGGAAACCCCU